GUAGCUAUGAGACCCGGUCCAGGCUACCCUGCUGGAGGAUGGAAGGUCACACAAAGCAGAGAUAAACUGUGUCGGCUGAGGGCCAUCCAAGACCGGCCAGCCCCCAGUCAGUCAGAAGCUGAGCAGACCAGAGGCGCACGGGGGACUCAGUUGAUUAAAUGUCUGACUUCAGAACCUGAGCAGACCAGAACAGUCCAGCUGAGCCAACCUAAACUGCAGAACUAUAAGAUAAAUAAGUGAUUGUUGUUUUAAGCCACUAAGUAUUGACAUGGUUUACUUUGCAGCAAAAGCUAACUGAUACAGUAA